rnacentral:sRNA from 2 species
UGAGUUGGUUGCUAGGGUUCCGGCUUUGCGCAAUGCAGGGCGCUGGUCCGAGAGCGGCCGCUUGUGGGGGAGACAUCCCCACAGGUGCACGGCGGGACAAAAGCCCGGGAGAC